rnacentral:rRNA from 1 species
GAGUUUGAUCUUGGCUCAGAACGAACGCUGGCGGCAGGCCUAACACAUGCAAGUCGAACGCGACCUUCGGGUCGAGUGGCGCACGGGUGAGUAACGCGUGGGAAUCUGCCCUGUGGUACGGAAUAACACCGGGAAACUGGUGCUAAUACCGUAUAUCCCCUGAGGGGGAAAGAUUUAUCGCCAUGGGAGGAGCCCGCGUAGGAUUAGCUAGUUGGUGGGGUAACGGCCUACCAAGGCGACGAUCCUUAGCUGGUCUGAGAGGAUGAUCAGCCACACUGGGACUGAGAUACGGCCCAGACUCCUACGGGAGGCAGCAGUGGGGAAUAUUGGACAAUGGGGAAACCCUGAUCCAGCCAUGCCGCGUGUGUGAU